AACACUAUGGUAAUAUAAAUGUGUUUUUGUAGUACUGUGUGUUGUACCGUGAAAGGUUUAGCUCCGUUUCACGCGGAAGACGACAUUCAACACCUAGAACCCGAGGCAGAGGUAACGGCAGGUAUCCGCCAUGUCAAUGUUUCAAUCGCUUUAUGCUAAUGUCAGACAUGCGCACUGAACACUCUCUCCACCGCAUAUUGACAAGACACGCCCCUUUAUGCUCAUUGGCUACAUGUUUUGUUUUGUUAGUCGACCGACUCAGUUUUCUGAAGCAUUUUUCAAACAUCCACCUUUAAAAUGAGGUUCACUUUUGCGUCUGGUUCCUCUCAGGACUGCUUCCUCAUAUCAUCUCAGGGAAUUUUUCAUUGCCACAACCAUCUCAGGCUUGUUCAUUAGAAAUAAAUGUUAGAGAUAAAUAGUAAUUUAAUUUGAAAAAAAAAAGCGAGUAAUUUUUAUUCUCUUUCUUUUCUUCUGUAAAGCUGCUUUAUUUAUGGAUCAACAGCAGUGGACUUUGACUUUUUAUUUACUUUUUUUGUGGUUUGAACUUGAUUUCAAAAUCCACCCUUGUCUCCAAAUACAGGACAGAAUUUGAUAAGAAGAAAAAACAAAUAUUGCCAAACUGGGCUGUGAAAGCUAUAUAAAGCUGAUCUAUUUUGGAGGAAAGAAGUGGAGAAAAAACAUACAGUGAGAUUUCAGACACUAAUUUCUGAAUAAGAAAACGUCCAAACGACUUAGUGAUCAAACAGAUUCCUGCUCUUUAAGAUAUGGUCAUGGAGAUCCGUGUGUUCGGCCUGGUUCUGCUGUUGGUGCUGAGCGUCGCACUGCCUGUUGAAGCCCAGUCCUGGGGGGCGUUCAAAAGGAAGCAUGUUUACCUGAACAUGAACACACCUUCAUGUACCCAGAAGAUUACAUAUGAGAACAUCAAUUAUGGUGGCACCUGCAAAUACAAGAACAGCUUCAUAAAGGCUACUGAUACUCAGGUCCAAGCUAUAUGUCAGAGAGGCGGCAGGCCUUUAGGCGGGAAUCUUUAUGAAAGCACUGCACAGUUCACUGUGGUCACGUGCACCACGAGAGACACUACACCACCAUGUAUAUAUUCCGGUCGUCAGGGCCUCAAAUACAUUACAGUAAAAUGUGAGAACCGUCUUCCUGUGCAUUACCAAUCUGAAAGAUAGAGGUUCCAGGUUUCCCUCAAGGUACUGAGUUAAAACAUCAUUAGUUCAGUGCUGAGGGAAAGAAAUGUACGUUUGUGGUCUAAUACAAAGCCACGUGUGAUCUCACAUGUACUCUAUGGAUAUGAAGAACGUGUGAUAAUUGUACAAUAAAUACAUCACUGGAAUGUUUUAUGUAAAAAAAGUUUCCAGUGGACUUUAUAAUCAAUGUCUCUGAUCCUCAUUAAAUGAAUUUUACACCA